AACGAACGCUGGCGGCAUGCCUAACACAUGCAAGUCGAACGAGACCUUCGGGUCUAGUGGCGCACGGGUGCGUAACGCGUGGGAAUCUGCCCUUGGGUUCGGAAUAACUUCGGGAAACUGAAGCUAAUACCGGAUGAUGACGUAAGUCCAAAGAUUUAUCGCCCAAGGAUGAGCCCGCGUAGGAUUAGCUAGUUGGUGAGGUAAAGGCUCACCAAGGCGACGAUCCUUAGCUGGUCUGAGAGGAUGAUCAGCCACACUGGGACUGAGACACGGCCCAGACUCCUACGGGAGGCAGCAGUGGGGAAUAUUGGACAAUGGGCGAAAGCCUGAUCCAGCAAUGCCGCGUGAGUGAUGAAGGCCUUAGGGUUGUAAAGCUCUUUUACUCGGGACGAUAAAUGACGGUACCGAGAGAAUAAGCCCGGCUAACUCCGUGCCAGCAGCCGCGGUAAAGUC
rnacentral:rRNA from 1 species